CUCCCCGCCCGCGGAGGAGGGGUGGGGGAGCGCGGGGCCCAGCCCCACGCCGGGCUCAGCGCCUGCCCGAAGAUGCCUUUUGUGACUGACACCAGGACUGGCAUCAGACACUGGACUGAUGGCAAGCUCUUCAAUUUGAGGAGACUAUAGGAGAAGACAAAAAGGUCUUACGAUCAACAUAAAGAACACAGAAGUGAUGUACCAGUCUGCACCAGAAAAGCCUUAUUUUCCUGAACUUGGACUUGCUGCCCAACAUCAGUUUGGUGAGCUCUGCAGGCUCAGAGGUAGCACAUCCAAGCCGAUGGCUCUUGUAUCAUUCAUGAAGUGUUUGCUUAGAGGUGUAUAUUGAGAUCCACCUCCCCUUUCCUGGGUGCAUUUCCUGACAAUCCUGCUAUUGAAUUAACUCAAUAUAUGUAUACAGUAAACCGCAGAGUAACCAGGUCAUAUGUAAUAUUUAUAAAUUCAUACAGGAAACUCAAAAUUCAUCACAACCAAUGUAAUUCAUAGAGCUGGCUGGAGAAUGAAAACCUAUAUUUGUGAACAAAUUUUAAAUUGUUUUGUUUCAAAGUUUUCAAAAUGGACCCGUUCUUUUUGGGGGAGGAGUUGAACAUUUUUAAAAUGCCUUUACUGUUUUAGCUUCUGCUAGUUUCUGCUGUUCUGAAUUGGCCUUGAGCAAUGACCUUUCCUGAAUUGGAGAAUAAGAAAAGAAGAUAGAUAGGAAAAAGUGGGAGUGUCUUGAACAACUAUAACUUAACAAGCCUCACAUACUUUGAAAAUAUUUGUAUAGGGAUAAGUACCUUAGCAACCUGAGAUAAAAAAAAAACAUUUAUCUUGCUUAAUAUAAUAGAUAUUCUCAU